rnacentral:rRNA from 1 species
UCGUCACACUAUCAUUAACUGAAUCCAUAGGUUAAUGAGGCGAACCGGGGGAACUGAAACAUCUAAGUACCCCGAGGAAAAGAAAUCAACCGAGAUUCCCCCAGUAGCGGCGAGCGAACGGGGAGGAGCCCAGAGCCUGAAUCAGCAUGUGUGUUAGUGGAAGCGUCUGGAAAGGCGCGCGAUACAGGGUGACAGCCCCGUACACAAAAGCGCAUGUGCUGUGAGCUCGAUGAGUAGGGCGGGACACGUGGUAUCCUGUCUGAAUAUGGGGGGACCAUCCUCCAAGGCUAAAUACUCCUGACUGACCGAUAGUGAACCAGUACCGUGAGGGAAAGGCGAAAAGAACCCCGGCGAGGGGAGUGAAAAAGAANNNNNNNNNNNNNNNNNNNNNNNNNNNNNNNNNNNNNNNNNNNNNNNNGGGCGUUAAGUUGCAGGGUAUAGACCCGAAACCCGGUGAUCUAGCCAUGGGCAGGUUGAAGGUUGGGUAACACUAACUGGAGGACCGAACCGACUAAUGUUGAAAAAUUAGCGGAUGACCUGUGGCUGGGGGUGAAAGGCCAAUCAAACCGGGAGAUAGCUGGUUCUCCCCGAAAGCUAUUUAGGUAGCGCCUCGUGAAUUCAUCUCCGGGGGUAGAGCACUGUUUCGGCUAGGGGGCCAUCCCGGCUUACCAACCCGAUGCAAACUGCGAAUACCGGAGAAUGUUAUCACGGGAGACACACGGCGGGUGCUAACGUCCGUCGUGAAGAGGGAAACAACCCAGACCGCCAGCUAAGGUCCCAAAGUCAUGGUUAAGUGGGAAACGAUGUGGGAAGGCCCAGACAGCCAGGAUGUUGGCUUAGAAGCAGCCAUCAUUUAAAGAAAGCGUAAUAGCUCACUGGUCGAGUCGGCCUGCGCGGAAGAUGUAACGGGGCUAAACCAUGCACCGAAGCUGCGGCAGCGANNUGCUGGAGGUAUCAGAAGUGCGAAUGCUGACAUAAGUAACGAUAAAGCGGGUGAAAAGCCCGCUCGCCGGAAGACCAAGGGUUCCUGUCCAACGUUAAUCGGGGCAGGGUGAGUCGACCCCUAAGGCGAGGCCGAAAGGCGUAGUCGAUGGGAAACGGGUUAAUAUUCCCGUACUUGGUGUUACUGCGAAGGGGGGACGGAGAAGGCUAUGUUGGCCGGGCGACGGUUGUCCCGGUUUAAGCGUGUAGGUGUGUGUUCCAGGUAAAUCCGGUUCACUUUAACACUGAGGCGUGACGACGAGGCACUACGGUGCUGAAGCAACAAAUGCCCUGCUUCCAGGAAAAGCCUCUAAGCAUCAGGUAACAUCAAAUCGUACCCCAAACCGACACAGGUGGUCAGGUAGAGAAUACCAAGGCGCUUGAGAGAACUCGGGUGAAGGAACUAGGCAAAAUGGUGCCGUAACUUCGGGAGAAGGCACGCUGACACGUAGGUGAAGUGAUUUACUCAUGGAGCUGAAGUCAGUCGAAGAUACCAGCUGGCUGCAACUGUUUAUUAAAAACACAGCACUGUGCAAACACGAAAGUGGACGUAUACGGUGUGACGCCUGCCCGGUGCCGGAAGGUUAAUUGAUGGGGUCAGCGCAAGCGAAGCUCCUGAUCGAAGCCCCGGUAAACGGCGGCCGUAACUAUAACGGUCCUAAGGUAGCGAAAUUCCUUGUCGGGUAAGUUCCGACCUGCACGAAUGGCGUAAUGAUGGCCAGGCUGUCUCCACCCGAGACUCAGUGAAAUUGAACUCGCUGUGAAGAUGCAGUGUACCCGCGGCAAGACGGAAAGACCCCGUGAACCUUUACUAUAGCUUGACACUGAACAUUGAGCCUUGAUGUGUAGGAUAGGUGGGAGGCUUUGAAGUGUGGACGCCAGUCUGCAUGGAGCCGACCUUGAAAUACCACCCUUUAAUGUUUGAUGUUCUAACGUGGACCCGUAAUCCGGGUUGCGGACAGUGUCUGGUGGGUAGUUUGACUGGGGCGGUCUCCUCCUAAAGAGUAACGGAGGAGCACGAAGGUUGGCUAAUCCUGGUCGGACAUCAGGAGGUUAGUGCAAUGGCAUAAGCCAGCUUGACUGCGAGCGUGACGGCGCGAGCAGGUGCGAAAGCAGGUCAUAGUGAUCCGGUGGUUCUGAAUGGAAGGGCCAUCGCUCAACGGAUAAAAGGUACUCCGGGGAUAACAGGCUGAUACCGCCCAAGAGUUCAUAUCGACGGCGGUGUUUGGCACCUCGAUGUCGGCUCAUCACAUCCUGGGGCUGAAGUAGGUCCCAAGGGUAUGGCUGUUCGCCAUUUAAAGUGGUACGCGAGCUGGGUUUAGAACGUCGUGAGACAGUUCGGUCCCUAUCUGCCGUGGGCGCUGGAGAACUGAGGGGGGCUGCUCCUAGUACGAGAGGACCGGAGUGGACGCAUCACUGGUGUUCGGGUUGUCAUGCCAAUGGCACUGCCCGGUAGCUAAAUGCGGAAGAGAUAAGUGCUGAAAGCAUCUAAGCACGAAACUUGCCCCGAGAUGAGUUCUCCCUGAGACUUAGAGUCUCCUGAAGGAACGUUGAAGACGACGACGUUGAUAGGCCGGGUGUGUAAGCGCAGCGAUGCGUUGAGCUAACCGGUACUAAUGAACCGUGAGGCUUAACCUUA